GAUAUACUGAGAGAUGGAUGAUCAAUCUUCCAGCGGCAUUUUCAAAACAAAUGCAUCAGUACAGGUCUGUAUAUUAAUUGGACUAAGGAUUGCAAGUACAGUUGCCAACAACCAAACUAAUGAAUUGUCAGUGCUACAUGAGAAGCGGCAGCACUCUUGAUGGCUUUGACUAACCCAGCAGUGGUGAUCAUUCAUAAAAAGCCUCUGCAAGAGCACCUUUUGAGAAGACAGUAUACCAAAUAUGUUUUUAAAAACACUUUUUAAUAAAUCCAUAUAAUGUAU